AACACUAUAACAUUUCUGCAUUCUGGAAUCAUCACCAAAUGGGAUGUCUAGCUUAUAAUUCCACUUUGAUCAACAACUCAUCUGUAGGCAGCUUGCAAUUUUAUGGAAUUACUUCAGUUUACUGAAAAUUUAAAUGAUUUGUCCAGGAUCACACAUCCAGUAUGUUUCAGAACUAUAGGCACAGUUUUGGUGUAUUGGAGUACAAAUGAUGCAGCAGGAGGACCUGACUUGAAAUCAGAAGAUAUAUCCCAGCCCUGCUUCUUACAAGGCACGUGAACUCAGUAAUACCACCUCUAUGAAUAUAUUUCUUC